UACGGGGGGGGCAAGCGUUGUUCGGAAUUACUGGGCGUAAAGGGCUCGUAGGCGGCCAACUAAGUCGGAUGUGAAAUCCCCAAGCUUAACUUGGGAACUGCAUCCGAUACUGGAUGGCUUGAAUCCGGGAGAGGGAUGCAGAAUUCCAGGUGUAGCGGUGAAAUGCGUAGAUAUCUGGAGGAAUACCGGUGGCGAAGGCGGCAUCCUGGACCGGCAUUGACGCUGAGGAGCGAAAGCUAGGGGAGCAAAGCGGGG
rnacentral:rRNA from 1 species